UACAGCCAUAUUGAGUUGAAACACCAGUUCUCGUACAAUCACCAAAGUUAAGCAAUGUUGAGCCUAGUCAGUACCUAGAUGGGUGACCACAUGGGAAUCAAGGUGCU